rnacentral:rRNA from 1 species
GAUGAACGCUGGCGGCGUGCCUAAUACAUGCAAGUCGAGCGAACGGACGAGAAGCUUGCUUCUCUGAUGUUAGCGGCGGACGGGUGAGUAACACGUGGAUAACCUACCUAUAAGACUGGGAUAACUUCGGGAAACCGUAGCUAAUACCGGAUAAUAUUUUGAACCGCAUGGUUCAAAAGUGAAAGACGGUCUUGCUGUCACUUAUAGAUGGAUCCGCGCUGCAUUAGCUAGUUGGUAAGGUAACGGCUUACCAAGGCAACGAUGCAUAGCCGACCUGUGAGGGGGGUCGGCCACCCGGGAACUGAGACACGGUCCAGACUCCUACGGGAGGCAGCAGUAGGGAAUCUUACGCAAUGGGCGAAAGCCUGACGGAGCAACGCCGCGUGAGUGAUGAAGGUCUUCGGAUCGUAAAACUCUGUUAUUAGGGAAGAACUUAUGUGUAAGUAACUGUGCACAUCUUGACGGUACCUAAUCAGAAAGCCACGGCUAACUACGUG